GGGUAGAGCGGACCUGAAAGGAAGGCCCCCCCCCUCCCCCAGGAUGCAUGCGGACCUGAAAGGGUGAUGGCCUAGCGGACCGUGUAGGGUGAAGCGGGCGCAGAGAUGGACAGAGCGGCGAAGGGGCAAUUAACCAAGGAAAUCGGUCGCUAGUUGAAGCAGGGACGGCAGUGUGAUUGGAAGUGGAUCGGGCAAUGUGAAGAGGGUGCGGACGGCAGGCGAAACAGAAAACGAUGCGGGAAAUUGAAAAACUGAAGAGGACCUGACUACUAGACAUUCACUUUCACAGACAGUGAUUCUUUGGCUUCUGCUACAUGUUAAUCGUCAAUUGAUCCAAUGAAUUCUAGCAGGAGUGAUUUGUUGGGGUGAGUGGAUUCCAUGGCUCCAGUGGAUAAAUGAGAGAAAACCCCAAAGGAAUUCAGUGACAUCUACCCAUGUAUGAAAGAAGCUGAGGAGGUUCAAGGUGGAUGAGCUCCACCUUUGAAAACAAUGCCAAUUCUCUGUCUCUGUAUCCAAACUAAUAACCAGGCCAUUCCAAUGCUGAAUCCUGC